UCCGAUUUACACCGGCGGUCUCCUGUGAGUUCCCGACUUUCUCGCUGGUAACACAGGACGAGGGUUGCGCUCGUUGGCGGACUUAACCGUACACCUCACGGCACGAGCUGACGACAGCCAUGCAACAUCUGUCUUCAGGUCCCCUUUUGGGGGAGGGCCGACUUUCAUCGGCUUUCCUUCGAUGUCAAACCUGGGUAAGGUUCUUCGGUUAGUAUCGAAUUAAUCCACAUGCUCCACCGCUUGUGCGGGUCCCCGUCAAUUCAUUUGAGUUUCAACCUUGCGGCCGUACUCCCCAGGCGGGAUACUUAAUGCGUUAGCUGCGGCACAAGAGGGGUCGAUACCUCUUACGCCUAGUAUCCAUCGUUUAGGGCGUGGACUAC
rnacentral:misc_RNA from 1 species